UGCAGAGUUUGGUGGGGAUUUCCUUCCUAGUCCGAGUGCCAUCCGAAUCACCAGUGUUAACUGGUUCGUUUGCGUUGUCACUGCUUACCCGAAGUUAGCGCGGAAGGGUGUCCUUGAUGAUUUGGAAAUUUGAUCUUCAGAAACAUGGAUGACUUAAAUUUUCUAAGAGGUGUGUCGAGACACUGCAUAGAUGAAUGCAUUUUGUAACAAGGCUAUGAAUAAAUAUUUAAUAUGCUG